rnacentral:rRNA from 1 species
CGCGGGGAAUCUUACCGGGUCCGGACACACUGAGGGACAGACAGUUGUCUUUCCCUCCCUUCGGGGUGGGAUUACAAAAGAUAACAGAUCUUUCAUGAUCAUGUGAUGGGUGGUGCAUGGCCGUUCUUAGUUCGUGGAGUGAUCUGUCUGCUUAAUUGCGUUUCAAAUUUUAUAUUUGUUAACAUGCGAGUCUUCAAUGACGGCCACUCCACCUUAUAGACAUUAUAUGAUAUGCACAUUUGUGUAUUUGAUUAUAACUUGUCUGGAGUCUGGCUCGAUUUUUUUGACUCAAUUGAACGCAACGGACGUGAUUGCAAGUCCUUGUUGAACAAAUUAUAUAUAUACUACUUCAUCAUUAGUAUAUAUAGUUCGCUUCUCAUGUCGUAGCAGUCAAACGGGCGGGCGUCUUAAUUGGCGCGGUCACGAGGCUUAAUAUGCUGCGGCUGGGGAAAACUUGGGCGACCGCUGUAAUACUUCUCUCUUAAACCAGAGGAAGAUUGCGGCAAUAACAGGUCUGUGAUG